rnacentral:lncRNA from 1 species
CAGUAUCCUUUAUACUUUAGAUAACUCAAACCUUACAACUCAACAUAAAAUAAACAUCAUAAACCAUUAAGUACAUCUCCAGAAUAUUAAACAUGGUUAAAAGGAAUAACAACUUUAGCUAAAAUAUUUAAUCUUCAUUAUAUCUGAUCCACAUCAUUCAAGUAGCACAUAGCGUUACUGUGACGCCCCCAAAAUAGGUCCACACGACCCAUUCUGAGUCGCCAGAUAUCACUCUAUAAAAAUCAAAUACAAACUUCAUUUAUACAACUGUUGAACUGUCGUGCAGUGUACGAUAACAGAUAAGCUGUGAGUUUUAAUACAAUAUUGUCUCGUAGACAGUAUUCAAACUCAAAUUGUUACAAUGCCAUAUAAAAUACAAUAGCAAAUAUUUUAAGACCCCAAAGAAGACGAGAAGAUUACAAUCAUAUUCAUUCUAAUGAGGUGCAUUUUUUUUUUUUUUGCUAAAUUUGUUUGUAUAUUAAUUUGCAAAAACUUUAAAUAUUACAAUAAAGAUCAUAGCAUAGUCCUCUUCUCCCGAGAGAACUAAAAUACCUAGAGAACCUAGGAAACAUUUUACCUAACCUAAUUGUAUAUUCCUCACAUUCUGAGAUUAGAUAAAUUGAACACUUAAAUUACAAUAAGAAACAAACACCACGGAAUAGGCUCAAUAACCAUCCGGGAAAGCAGCCCAAGCAGGUGAACUAAGAGAGCCCACGAGUUAAGCAACCCAUCCCACGUGAGCAAAUAGCAAAUGUAGUAUAAAAUAUAGUCCACGCAAGGCAGUAAACUACUGAAAUGGGAAUAAUAUGAAACAAUUGAGGGCGGGACAUCAACCAAUAUAGAAAGUCAAAUUUCAAAUUAGCCAUAUGGGACCCCUAAGUCAGCAACACAAACCACAAUGGUAAAGUCAGCUGAGAUCAGCACCACGUGGCCCCCAAAAGGAAUAGACCGGCGAAUUGCCAUUGACUGGCCUGAAAAUCUUCGGCGAGCUGCAUCGAAAAACAUAGGACCUAGCCCAGAUUCUGACAACCCAAGCCAUAGAUUCUGGCCAGAACAUCAGCAGCAAAACCGAAAGUUACCUCCACAGUCAGUCGAACAAUACGGAUUAAAAUGGAAAAGGCAAAAUCUAGAGCAACAACGAUGCUCCGUCAAACAUCCCCAAAAUCUGAGAACCAAGAGAUAUGGACAAUAGAGACCAACCCAGAUCAGAGGAAACAUAGAAACAAGAUCUGUUGAGAAAGACAGAUCCAAAUCUACAGAUAAGGACCAGAUUCGAAAACAAUCCUAGAAUCUGGCCAAGAAAACCCAUCACACGAAAAUUAUAUCUUAAAAUUGGACAUAGUCAAAAUGAUUUUCGUUGAAGAACACACAAGGAUGAAGGAAACAUCCUUGCACAGACCACCAAACAACACUUCAGCCACAAAAUAAGCAGAUUUGAAAUGGUCCAGCAACCAAAAACCGAACCCAACCCCAGAACAAUUCCUCCUCAUCAGAUCAUGACUCCCAGCCUAGCACGCACAGGAUCAUCACUCCUACUAGUCUUGUAAGAAAACCCCAUAAUCUAUAAGCCCCUCGGACUCGCCUUAGCAUAGAUCGUCAAUGAGAGUUUCGAUGGUUCAUAUUGUAGCUGCCGGUAAGGCUCAACAGAACCAAGUGAAUCAAAGAGGUGAGAGAAGGAAGGGAAAGAAUCAAACUGCUGCCAUCUCAAACCAGACCCAAAACAUUCCAAAACCAUCUAGUUCAGAUCCGAGAGAAUGGGUGGGCCGCAGAAUGGAGGGGAAAAUUGGGGUGCAAGGAGGAGAAUGGACGGAAGUUGAAGGAGAGGUGGGGAGAGGGGGGGGUUUGCUAGAGAGAAGGAGGAGCUUCUCUCUCUACCCUGCUUGGAGCCCUCUAUCUUCUAGUAGUAUGAGCUGCACUUUUGACGCUUUCAAAG